AAUAAGCGGAGGAAAAGAAACUAACAAGGAUUCCCUUGGUAGCGGCGAGCGACCAGGGAAAAGCUCAGCAUAAAAUCUCAUAGCUAUACCAGUUAUUGAGAAAUGUUAUGUUUAGGAAGUUUCGUUUAUCCUAUAAUGUACACUUAGUCCAAGUCCACCUUGAAUGGGGCAUUAUCCAUAGAGGGUGCCAGCCCCGUAGUGACAAGUGUCGAUAAAUUAUUAUAGGUGAAACUUUCCUUAGAGUCGGGUUGCUUGCAAAUGCAGCUCUAAGUUGGUGGUAAACUCCAUCUAAAGCUAAAUAUAACCACGAGACCGAUAGCGAACAAGUACCAUGAGGGAAAGUUGAAAAGAACUUUGAAGAGAG
rnacentral:rRNA from 1 species